AGGACGAACGCUGGCGGCGUGCUUAACACAUGCAAGUCGAACGGUAAGGCCCUUCGGGGUACGACGAGUGGCGAACGGGUGAGUAACACGUGAGCAACCUGCCCUUGACUUCGGAAUAACAGUUGGAAACAGCCGCUAAUACCGAAUAUGACCGCAUGCGUCAUCGCAUGCGGUGGAAAGCUCCGGCGGUCAAGGAUGGGCUCGCGGCCUAUCAGCUUGUUGGUGAGGUAACGGCUCACCAAGGCUUCGACGGGUA
rnacentral:rRNA from 1 species